rnacentral:rRNA from 1 species
GGAUCCAGACUUUGAUCCUGGCUCAGGAUGAACGCUAGCUACAGGCUUAACACAUGCAAGUCGAGGGGAAACGAUAUUGGAAGCUUGCUUCCGAUAGGCGUCGACCGGCGCACGGGUGAGUAACGCGUAUCCAACCUGCCCACCACUUGGGGAUAACCUUGCGAAAGUAAGACUAAUACCCAAUGAUAUCUCUAGAAGACAUCUGAAAGGGAUUAAAGAUUUAUCGGUGAUGGAUGGGGAUGCGUCUGAUUAGCUUGUUGGCGGGGUAACGGCCCACCAAGGCGACGAUCAGUAGGGGUUCUGAGAGGAAGGUCCCCCACAUUGGAACUGAGACACGGUCCAAACUCCUACGGGAGGCAGCAGUGAGGAAUAUUGGUCAAUGGGCGAGAGCCUGAACCAGCCAAGUAGCGUGCAGGAUGACGGCCCUAUGGGUUGUAAACUGCUUUUAUAAGGGAAUAAAGUGAGUCUCGUGAGACUUUUUGCAUGUACCUUAUGAAUAAGGACCGGCUAAUUCCGUGCCAGCAGCCGCGGUAAUACGGAAGGUCCGGGCGUUAUCCGGAUUUAUUGGGUUUAAAGGGAGCGUAGGCCGGAGAUUAAGCGUGUUGUGAAAUGUAGACGCUCAACGUCUGCACUGCAGCGCGAACUGGUUUCCUUGAGUACGCACAAAGUGGGCGGAAUUCGUGGUGUAGCGGUGAAAUGCUUAGAUAUCACGAAGAACUCCGAUUGCGAAGGCAGCUCACUGGAGCGCAACUGACGCUGAAGCUCGAAAGUGCGGGUAUCGAACAGGAUUAGAUACCCUGGUAGUCCGCACGGUAAACGAUGGAUGCCCGCUGUUGGUCUGAAUAGGUCAGCGGCCAAGCGAAAGCAUUAAGCAUCCCACCUGGGGAGUACGCCGGCAACGGUGCAACUCAAAGG